UUUUGGUCAUUUCUUAGCAAAAGAGAAGAUUAUAAGUGCAUUAAAUGCAUGAAUUCAGAUGAUUUGACCCAAAAUAGUUGUUUUUCAAGUUGACCCUCCACCCUUAUAUAGCCGAAUAAGGGCUAAAUUGCUUUCCAACUUAAGUUCAAAGGCAUAUUGGUUGACCGUGUAGCAUUAAUGUACUACAUGAUGUCAGAAUUCAACGCCUGGGUCUCCGUGAUCCAGUAACGCAACAAUAGCUUGUGCGUAAAGCAUUAACAUUCAAACAGAGCCCCAUUUCACCGAUAUGGAAUGGCGGACAUUUUUACAGAUUGGACAGUGCAGCAGAUGCUUAGCUGAGCCAGCCUUCAUAUUUAGUACAAUCAUGAAUAUAACAAGCUUUAUCACUACAUAUUAUUCUUAUAAAUACACUUAAAAUACAUAAAUGCAUGUGUUUUUUUCAUUUUAUAUCUAUUUCAAUUGGGUAUUUUGACUUUUUCAGGUAGAGGAAUGUCUGCGACUAAGCCGAGGGCCACUGCAUAAGGGUUAUUGAUGGCAAAACAGGUAGAGGAAUGUCUGCGACUAAGCCGAGGGCCACUGCAUAAGGGUUAUUGAUGGCAAAACAGGGCAUAAUUUACGAUGGAGUACAGUGGAUUUGCUUGUAAGGAGUUCUUCGUGAUUCAGGGAAAGGAUAUCAGAUUUGCUGACAAACUUUACUAUUCACCAGCCCAGCAAAAGUAUUCACUUUGGACUGGGGAUAGCAAGGUUGGUCAAAUCAACAGACUGACACUUUGACAUGAGGUUGGAGUUCUAGGCUGGAUGGGGUUGGUUUCAAUAGGUAGUGUGUGGUUUCUAGUGAAGAAGGCGAUCAGGUUUUGGAUCUGAGGGGUCAUCACUGAAUAUCACUGUAUCGUCCGCAUAGAGAAGUAAAAACAUUUUUAGGUCAGUCACGUCAAGGACAAUGUUCUACAACAAGAAAAACAAUGGUCUUCGCUCUAAAAAUCGAAUAGUAUUAAACUAUUUCACUAACAAAUGUAUACGCAGGUAGCUUAAAAGCAGAAAUAUCAUG